UUUGGUGGCGAUAGCGAAGAGGUCACACCCGUUCCCAUACCGAACACGGAAGUUAAGCUCUUCAGCGCCGAUGGUAGUUGGGGGGGUUCCCCCUGUGAGAGUAGGACGCCGCCAAGC
rnacentral:rRNA from 1 species